AACCUGGUCUCCAGAGUUGUGCAUGCAAACGCCCUAGCGCGGUGGGCUCCAUCGUCCUCACCCCUGAGAGACCCCCCUGUUCCAUCUGGUGCCCCAAACAGGGACCCCUGGCACCUCUGGAUGGAAGGUGAGAAAAAUCCCGUGUGGAUUCCUGCCCGUAACAUCAAACCCUGCACCACCAGCAAUGAGCCAUAGACCACCAUCACCAUCACCCCUGGUAGAGGAAAUGGAGGACCUGACCAUAGAGGACAACCAGCCCCGGCGGCAGAGACGACCAAGACACUGACGGGCCCACAACAUUACCUGGGAGACAUCAACAAUCUACAGGACCAAGCCGCACGCAUGGCACCAGAAGGCAAUCCAUCGGCAGGGACAUUAUUCCUAUUAAUGUCUGCCAUCUGUGUAACGCCCAUUCCAGUGAGAAAUGCCUCCUGGGAGCGC